rnacentral:rRNA from 1 species
UACGUAGGAGGCGAGCGUUGUCCGGAGUUACUGGGCGUAAAGGGUGCGCAGGCGGCCAUUGAAGUUUGCGGUGAAAUCUCCCGGCUUACCUGGGAGGGUGCCGUGAAAACUGGAUGGCUUGAGGCUCGGGGAGGGGCGUGGAAUUCCGGGUGGAGCGGUGAAAUGCGUAGAGAUCCGGAGGAACACCGACGGCGUAGGCAGCGCCCUAAACGAGUUCUGACGCUCAGGCACGAAAGCUGGGGGAGCAAACAGGAUUAGAUACCCUGGUAGUCCCAGCCCUCAACGAUGUCCACCAGGCGCCGCGGGUAUCGACCCCUGCGGCGCCGCAGCUCACGUGAUGAGUGGACCGCCUGGGGAGUACGGCCGCAAGGUUGAA